rnacentral:rRNA from 1 species
CCUACGGGAGGCAGCAGUGAGGAAUAUUGGUCAAUGGGCGAGAGCCUGAACCAGCCAAGUCGCGUGAAGGAUGAAGGCCCUACGUGUUGUAAACUUCUUUUAUCAGGGAAUAAAGUGUGGGACGUGUCCCCUUUUGUAUGUACCUUAUGAAUAAGCAUCGGCUAACUCCGUGCCAGCAGCCGCGGUAAUACGGAGGAUCCGAGCGUUAUCCGGAUUUAUUGGGUUUAAAGGGUGCGUAGGCGGCGUGUUAAGUCAGUGGUGAAAGGCUGCGGCUCAACCGUAGAAUUGCAGUUGAAACUGGCAGGCUUGAGUACAGUAGAGGUAGGCGGAAUGCGUGGUGUAGCGGUGAAAUGCUUAGAUAUCACGCAGAACCCCGAUUGCGAAGGCAGCUUACUGGACCGACACUGACGCUGAGGCACGAAAGUGUGGGUAUCAAACAGGAUUAGAUACCCUUGUAGUC